CAGUCGCCGCGGGAAUACGUAGGUCCCGAGCGUUGUCCGGAUUUAUUGGGCGUAAAGCGAGCGCAGGCGGUUAGAUAAGUCUGAAGUUAAAGGCUGUGGCUUAACCAUGGUACGCUUUGGAGACUGUUUAACUUGAGUGCAAGAGGGGAGAGUGGAAUUCCAUGUGUAGCGGUGAAAUGCGUAGAUAUAUGGAGGAACACCGGUGGCGAAAGCGGCUCUCUGGCUUGUAACUGACGCUGAGGCUCGAAAGCGUGGGGAGCAAACAGGAUUAGAUAUCCCUGUAGUCCCUGUCUCUUAUACA
rnacentral:rRNA from 1 species